GCUCUGCCACAAACAUUACAAGCCUGUACCAGAGGUAUUACCAGCCACUUCUAACAAACAGAAAAUCUGUAACCAGAGCCUCCAGAAAGAUUGGGAUUGACUUCAGAGCUUCUGUAAUGAAUGGCUACAGUGGCUUUAAUGACAGCACUGCCUGGACAGGAUGAAUGCCCAGCAGGCAGCUCUCAAACACAGCAAGGGGCAAAUCCCAAAUGGCCAGUCUCUCAAAGCCCAGAAGAACUUUGCACCGGUCUCACCACAGUGUAUUGUAAAUUCACUAGUUGUCUCCACUAUACGGUAGACUGCAGAGGAGCAAUAGAUCAUUUUCUGAAGCCAGGCAUUACUCACACAGUGACUACUUUAACUAAAGUCCC
ensembl:lncRNA